rnacentral:rRNA from 1 species
CAGGUGCUGCAUGGCUGUCGUCAGCUCGUGUCGUGAGAUGCUGGGUUAAGUCCCGCAACGAGCGCAACCCUCGCCUUUAGUUGCCAGCAUUCAGUUGGGCACUCUAGAGGGACUGCCGGUGUCAAACCGGAGGAAGGCGGGGAUGACGUCAAGUCCUCAUGGCCUUUAUGUCUAGGGCUACACACGUACUACAAUGGCCGGUACAAAGGGCAGCCACUCAGCGAUGAGGCGCGAAUCCCAUAAAGCCGGUCUCAGUCCGGAUCGCAGUCUGCAACUCGACUGCGUGAAGUUGGAAUCGCUAGUAAUCGUAGAUCAGCAUGCUACGGUGAAUACGUUCCCGGGCCUU